rnacentral:lncRNA from 1 species
UGGUAGUGCGGUAGGUCUGUUUACACCAGCGUCACCGCAAACACGUGAACAAUGCACUGCACUGUGACAUCACAAGGGCUACAGUGUCGCUAGGCAAUGGGAAAUUUUUAGGUCCAUUGUAAUCUUAUGGGACCACCAUCAUGUAGGUUGUCCAUUGUUGGCCAAAUUGCCCUUAUGUGGUACAUGGCCGAUGAAAUGGAACCUGGGAAAUCUCAGCCUACCUCAAAGGAGAGGGUCAUACCUUCCCCUUGUCACUGGAGGCAUUGAGGGAUGCAGAAGUUCCACUGUGCAUGCUAAAUCGUGAGGUCAGAAGAGCAGGCUCGGCUUGGUACUGUUCCCAGCUCCUGUUGCUGUAUUUUGAACACACUAGGUACUGUAUCGUCUCCUAUCACGGGUUCAGUACAAGGAGAGGGAUUAGAAGGACUCUAGAGAUGAACGAUUUAAAGUAUUUAAGAAGAUGCGUAUCACUUAGGGCGGGCAGGACUCACUCCCUCCCUCCAUCCUAGUGCCCUUGAGCCUAGCAUCGCACCCAGGAAUCUAUUCCAGAAAAAGCCCAACCUACAACUGCAUGAGGCUUUGGGGGAACAACAAGACACAGCCAUAACAGUGCUCGAUGCAGAAGGCCUCGUCUGCAGCGUGGUCAGCACUUGGGCCAUCCCCCCGCUCGGAGGCCCUGCUCUUCAGCAGGGUAAUGUUCUUGGUCUGGGCUCCCUCCAAGGUCUCGGUUAAAAGAUCGAGAAAGAAAAAGACCAGAGUUGGUCAACAGGAAAUAGGCAAAUAAUUAAAUAGAGAAUCAAAGCGC